UACGGGGGGGGCAAGCGUUGUUCGGAAUUACUGGGCGUAAAGGGUGCGUAGGCGGCUUUCUAAGUUGGAUGUGAAAACUCUGGGCUCAACCCAGAGCCUGCAUCCAAAACUGGAAAGCUAGGGUUCUGGAGGGGAAAGCGGAAUUCCUGGUGUAGCGGUGAAAUGCGUAGAUAUCAGGAGGAACACCGGUGGCGAAGGCGGCUUUCUGGACAGAUACCGACGCUGAGGCACGAAAGCUAGGGGAGCAAACAGG
rnacentral:rRNA from 1 species